rnacentral:rRNA from 1 species
UACGUAGGGUGCAAGCGUUAAUCGGAAUUACUGGGCGUAAAGCGUGCGCAGGCGGUCCGUUAAGACAGAUGUGAAAUCCCCGGGCUUAACCUGGGAACUGCAUUUGUGACUGGCGGACUCGAGUAUGGCAGAGGGGGGUAGAAUUCCACGGUGUAGCAGUGAAAUGCGUAGAGAUGUGGAGGAAUACCGAUGGCGAAGGCAGCCCCCUGGGCCAAUACGU